rnacentral:rRNA from 1 species
CUUUCUUUGCUGGCGACCGGCGCACGGGUGAGUAACACGUGUCCAACCUGCCCUUUACUCGGGGAUAGCCUUUCGAAAGAAAGAUUAAUACCCGAUAGCAUAAUGAUUCCGCAUGGUUUCAUUAUUAAAGGAUUCCGGUAAAGGAUGGGGAUGCGUUCCAUUAGGUUGUUGGUGAGGUAACGGCCCACCAAGCCUUCGAUGGAUAGGGGUUCUGAGAGGAAGGUCCCCCACAUUGGAACUGAGACACGGUCCAA